CCCACUAGAAGUUCUGAUCCACAGCAAUUUGAAAGGGGGAAAGAGUAAAACUGAUGGUAGUGCAGAGAGAAGACAUGCCCUUGACAAGGAAACCAUGGGAGCCAUAUUUGUGGCAGUCAAGAAGAGGUUUCCCAAUGUGUCCAGAGGAGCUUUGGGUAUUGCAGUGAAUUCCAAGCUGGGGGAACUGAGACUGCUUGAAAAAAAAAGGAGCUAAUUUUGUUAUUGUUUUUUUGUUGUUAUUCUUUAAUUUAUAGCAUGUUCCUUACUUGAUUUUUAUUCAGGUGUGUUAUAUGUUCACAUUUUAGACAGAAAAUAAAGAUUUUAUUCAAAUGUUACAUUGUGAAUGUAUUUUCUUGGACUGAAAUAUAU